rnacentral:rRNA from 1 species
GGCUACCGCUAUUGGAGUUCGAUUAAGCCAUGCGAGUCGAGAGUCCUCGGGACUCGGCGUACCGCUCGGUAACACGUGGGUAACCUGCCCUAUGCUGGGGAAUAACCUCGGGAAACUGAGAAUAAUGCCCCAUAGUCCACAAUGCCUGGAACGGUUUGUGGAUCAAAGCUCCGGCGGCAUAGGAUGGGCCUGCGGCGUAUCAGGUUGUAGGGGGCGUAACGUACCCUCUAGCCAUCAACGCGUACGGGUGUUGGGAGACAUAGCCCGGAGAUGGAUUCUGAGACACGAAUCCAGACCCUACGGGGUGCAGCAGGCGCGAAAACUUGGCAAUGCGAGAAAUCGUGACCAGGGAACUCCAAGUGGCUGGGGUAAGACCCAGUCUUUUCUUGACUCUUCAACGGUCUUGGAAUAAGGGGUGGGUAAGGACGGUGCCAGCCGCCGCGGUAAUACCGGCGCCUCAAGUGGUAGUCGAUUUUAUUGGGCCUAAAACGUCCGUAGCCUGUUUGGUACAUUCGUGGGUAAAUCAACCAGCUCAACUGGUUGAAUUCUGCGAGCACGGCCAGACUUGGGACCGGGAGAGGUGUGGGGUACGCUCAGGGUAGGGGUAAAAUCCUGUCAUCCUGAGCGGACCACCUGUCGCGGAGGCGCCACACUAGAACGGAUCCGACGGUCAGGGACGAAGCCUAGGGGCACGAACCGGAUUAGAUACCCGGGUAGUCCUAGGUGUAAACGCUGUGGACUUGGUGUUGGGGACUCUCCGAGAUUCCUCAGUGCCGAAGCGAAGGUGAUAAGUCCACUGCCUGGGGAGUACGGUCGCAAGGCUGAAACUUAAAGGAAUUGGCGGGGGAGCACCGCAACCUGAGGAUUGUGCGGUUU